rnacentral:rRNA from 1 species
UGGGGAAUAUUGGACAAUGGGCGAAAGCCUGAUCCAGCCAUGCCGCGUGUGUGAAGAAGGUCUUCGGAUUGUAAAGCACUUUAAGUUGGGAGGAAGGGCAUUAACCUAAUACGUUAGUGUUUUGACGUUACCGACAGAAUAAGCACCGGCUAACUCUGUGCCAGCAGCCGCGGUAAUACAGAGGGUGCAAGCGUUAAUCGGAAUUACUGGGCGUAAAGCGCGCGUAGGUGGUUUGUUAAGUUGGAUGUGAAAUCCCCGGGCUCAACCUGGGAACUGCAUUCAAAACUGACUGACUAGAGUAUGGUAGAGGGUGAUGGAAUUUCCUGUGUAGCGGUGAAAUGCGUAGAUAUAGGAAGGAACACCAGUGGCGAAGGCGACCACCUGGACUAAUACUGACACUGAGGUGCGAAAGCGUGGGGAGCAAACA